rfam:Myotis brandtii contig289679, whole genome shotgun sequence.
GGCAAUUCUCAGGCGACACACCCUGGAAUCGGACUCCCUCCUCUCUGGUGUCAGGUGAGUCACCCAAGAACCGCA